rnacentral:lncRNA from 1 species
GAGCAAGGCUGUGAAGUCUUCAUCAGCAAGGAUCCUAUGAGCUCGCUUGUCGUUCCCUCUCAGUUGAGUUUUUUGGGGGGGUAGACAGCAAAUAGCUAUUUCUGUACUCUGUGUGUGGUGUCAUUUUGCUUUUAAAAAUAGAUCUUCAUCUUAACCUUAUAGCUGCUUUCUUUCCUUCUUUUCUAUCUCCUGCCAAAAAGCAAUAAAGCAUGAAGCGGCUCUGAGAAUCGUGGAUGCCUAUACAAGGACUCCUUACAGACUGCAGGGGUGAUGCUGACAGCCUGCCUCGACCGGGAUGAGACAAGUUGCUGCUCUGAUUUGGUCCCACAAGAUCUCCAGGAGGUCAGUGCAAGUUCAGGUGGGGACUGGCCAGAAGAGAGAAGGAUGGCUGGGGUUGAAGAGGAUAUAAUCCUGUUUCCCUCAUCCCGUCUCUGGUGCACCCUGUGGGUCCUGGGAUUUCGGAGCAGAAGCAUCUCUGGCCUGCUUCAUCACCACUGUGGCGCCAGGGAGUUCAUCCCUGUCCGUCUCUAUGAGCCCGCGUGCAGCGGUGAGAGUGGAGCGUCACAGGCGAGAGGGCAAAGGCAGAACAAGGCAGAAGCUGAAGAAAUCUGA